rnacentral:rRNA from 1 species
AGAGUUUGAUCAUGGCUCAGAGCGAACGCUGGCGGCAGGCCUAACACAUGCAAGUCGAGCGCCGUAGCAAUACGGAGCGGCAGACGGGAGAGUAACACGUGGGAACGUACCCUUUGGUUCGGAACAACCCAGGGAAACUUGGGCUAAUACCGCAUGUGCUCUACGGAGGAAAGUGGGGGACCCGCAAGGGCCUCACGCCAUGGGAGCGGCCGAUGUCCGAUUAGCUUGUUGGCGGGGUAAAGGCCCACCAAGGCGACGAUCGGUAGCUGGUCUGAGAGGAUGAUCAGCCACACUGGGACUGAGACACGGCCCAGACUCCUACGGGAGGCAGCAGUGGGGAAUUUUGGACAAUGGGGGCAACCCUGAUCCAGCCAUGCCGCGUGAGUGAAGAAGGCCUUCGGGUUGUAAAGCUCUUUUGGUCGGAAAGAAGGGGUUCGGGUGAAUACCCCGGAUCUCUGACGGUACCGGCAGAAUAAGCACCGGCUAACUACGUGCCAGCAGCCGCGGUAAUACGUAGGGUGCGAGCGUUAAUCGGAAUUACUGGGCGUAAAGAGUGCGUAGGCGGUUCUUUGUGUCCGCUGUGAAAGCCCCGGGCUUAACCUGGGAAUGGCAGUGGAAACUAGAGAACUCGAAUCUGGCAGAGGGGGGUGGAAUGCCACGUGUAGCAGUGAAAUGCGUAGAGAUGUGGCGGAACACCGAUGGCGAAGGCAGCCCCCUGGGCUGAGAUUGACGCUCAGGCACGAAAGCGUGGGGAGCAAACAGGAUUAGAUACCCUAGUAGUCC